rnacentral:rRNA from 1 species
GACGAACGCUGGCGGCGUGCUUAACACAUGCAAGUCGAACGGAAAGGCCCUGCUUUUGUGGGGUGCUCGAGUGGCGAACGGGUGAGUAACACGUGAGUAACCUGCCCUUGACUUUGGGAUAACUUCAGGAAACUGGGGCUAAUACCGGAUAGGAGCUCCUGCUGCAUGGUGGGGGUUGGAAAGUUUCGGCGGUUGGGGAUGGACUCGCGGCUUAUCAGCUUGUUGGUGGGGUAGUGGCUUACCAAGGCUUUGACGGGUAGCCGGCCUGAGAGGGUGACCGGCCACAUGGGGACUGAGAUACGGCCCAGACUCCUACGGGAGGCAGCAGUGGGGAAUAUUGCACAAUGGGCGGAAGCCUGAUGCAGCAACGCCGCGUGCGUGAUGACGGCCUUCGGGUUGUAAACCGCUUUCGCCUGUGACGAAGCGUGAGUGACGGUAAUGGGUAAAGAAGCACCGGCUAACUACGUG